GCCGGAGUGGUGGAAUUGGUAGACGCGCCGGACUCAAAAUCCGGUGCUGGCGACAGCGUGCGAGUUCGAUUCUCGCCUCCGGCACCA
rnacentral:tRNA from 1 species